AGUGGCAUCACUGGGUAAUGAGGUAACUCUAUGUUCAAUUUUUUGAGGAACUGUCAAGCUGUUUUCCAAAGUGGCUGUAACUUUUAUAUUUCUGUAAGAAGU
rnacentral:pre_miRNA from 1 species